UAAAAUUUGGUGAAAGCUGGGAGUGAUGCCUGGAUGGAGGCAGGCAAUGGAAGUCUUUGAGAAGUGUGGAUGGCAGUGGCAAGGACGAUGGCCAAGAUGGGAGAAAGGCCAAUGGGGCCAGAGGCUAGUAAACGGAGAAGGAGAUUAUCUUUUUAUUUUCCAGAUGUCUCACUGUGUCUUAGAAUCCGCUGUUAUGCUGAGAGAGCACAGGGAAAUGGAAUCAGCACUGUGCUGUUCGGACACUCAAACUGACCUAGAGGACUUGAAUGUGAAGAAAAACUGACGCUCUUGCUAAAGUCCAGCACUAGCUUGACAGCCAUGUGAAUGAACCUCAUUGGAACUGGGAUCUCUGGCUCUGGUUAAUCCUUCACCUGACUUCAGCUGUGGCCAACAUCUUUUUUUUUUUUUUUUCCAAGAUGGAGUUUCCCUCUCGUUGCCCAGGCUGGAGUGCAAUGGUUCAAUCUCAGCUCACUGCUACCUCCGCCUCCCAGGUUCAAGCGAUUCUCCUGCCCCAGCCUCCCAAGUAGCUGGGAUUACAGGCAUGCACCACCACACCCGGCUAAUGUUUGUAUUUUUAGUAGAGACGGGUUUCUCCAUGUUGGUCAGGCUGGCCUCAAACUCCCGACCUCAGGUGAUCCACCCACCUUGGCCUCCCAAGGUGCUGGGAUUACUGGUGUGAGCCACCGUGCCCGGCCUGUGGCCAACAUCUUGGUGGUAACUUCAUGAGACACCCUGAGACAAAAACAGCCAAGAUGCUCCCAAAUUAUUAACCAUUGAAACUGUGAGAGAUAAUGGUGCUUAUUGUCAUUUUAAGCUACUAAGUCUGGGGAGUAAUCUGUUAAAUUGCAAUAGAUAACUAAUAAAGUUGUGGACUCACCCCUGCUACCAGGACUUUUGGGAGCUUCUUGGUUUCUUUUUGUUUCUUCAGUAUCUGUCACUCUUCCGUUUGGCUCUGUAAGCUUCUCUCCCUCCAACUCCAUUCUGCCAAAGUCAGUUUCAAGUGCUUGCUAUUAAAGAAGAUAAUUUUAAAACAGUAGAGAUUAUUAACUGAAACCAAACUAAGGGAAAUAAUGUAUUUUUUGUUUCCUUGCUUGGUUGGUCUGGUCUUGAGAAAUUUCAAUUCAAUGUCUUGGUCUACUGUGGAUUUUAUUUUAGUUGUUUAAAUUGUAGUGUUAUGUAUCCACAUGGUUCACACAUAGGGAGCUGGAAGAUUGCACUUCCUCUAUCGGCAUUGCACAAGUCAAGUGUGAUUUACCACUGAUACAUAUGUCUCUUGAUGAAUAUUCUGAGGUUAUGCAGCCACUCUUUAUCACAUAUCAUUUAUAAAGAAUGAUGUGAUAAUCAGCUAUAAAGAAUGCAACAGUAAGCUUGUAAAAGGAAACUAAAUGCCUGGUAAUUAAGAAAUAUAUACGUUAUAGAUUUAAUUGUUGAAUAGUUAUGUUGAUUUAUCCCACACAAGUGGAUCUUUCAGAUUUAUAACUUGGUGUGCCCUGAACUUUAGCAUGUUACUCUCAUGAGUCUGUGAUGCUAUUUUAUUCUUCUUUACCUAUUUGUAUAAACUGGUAAAAAAAUUCAAGGACAAAAAAACUCUACAUACAAUGAAAACACAUGCCCAUUAUUUUAAAUAGAAUGAUUUUGUUUAGUAUGUUAAAAAUAGCAAUAUAAAAGAAAAGCUUUAACUAAGCUUGUCUAUUACAAUCAAAUUUGUUUAGUGUGUUAAUAAUUUUAAACCGUUAAUGAAACAAUCAGAUGUCUACUUUUAAGAAAAAUUUACAAAUGAUUUUUUUUUUAAAAUAUGCUUCCAUAUGAGUUAGGAGACAGAAAUGAACUUGACUAUUCCCUUCAUUCUAAAAUUAGGAAAUAAUUGGGAUUUAUAUCAAUGGUGAUGCCUUUCAAUGUCCAAGCUGGUAGAAUGAAGGCACAAUGGAAGUUAGAAGUCAAAAUAAAUGGACAGUAUGCUAUUUUAGCCAUUUUAAGUACAUCUGGCAAUACAAUAAUUUAUUGGUCAUUUUGAUAGACUAGUGAGACAAUUGGUAAAUUGAUAGAAGAUUGAUUUAUCAAUUUCUGAAUCUCAAUUUUAAAUUACAGUAUAUAUAAAAACUAUUUUAAGAAAUGUUCUAAAAUAUAUACCCUUUUUUAAUACUUUUAAAAUCUCAAAAUAGAAUAACUUAAAGGUCAUUGUCCUGAUUCUAACAUAGAUUCCAAGAUAAUUAUUUAACAGACUCUAAGUAUCAGUUGAAAUUUUAUGUAUGUAAGGGAAAUGUUUCACAUCAGUGAUUUUUCUAGUGCUUAUCUGGACACUGAAGGGAAGUUCACCAGAGAUGAUCUACAUAGGAAAUCCUCUGCAGAACCCCCACCUUAAUGUUGACAAAGCUACAUUACUUAUUAUAUCUGUUUUUCUAUCUUGGUCUUCUAUAAAGGACUUCAAUUUAAAAAAAAAGUGCUUUGGGAAAAAGAAAACACUGAAAAACCACUGAUACUGAUGGUCUUAAGAAUAUGUGUGCACAUCGUAAAAACAAAUAAAAAUCCCAACUUCCAUUUAUUUUAUAAGUCAGAUGUAGCUGGACAACAGACCUACUAAUAGUCUUCUUUAAAAACGUUUACACUUUAUAUGAUUUUGAAUAUCUCAAACUGAAUUUGGCUGAAUUCGACAACUUAGCAUUUUCAGGCAAGCUAAAGCUAACCUAUCUUGAAAUACAUACUUUUCAACAUAUUAAACAAAAACAUAUAUAUUUUUUAACAGUAUUCAAAGAUUUAAGAUUGCCUAUUUAAUCUUACCUCUUAGAUUUUGGUACUUUGAUGCUUGUAUGGUUUUCUUCUGUUGGGAGUCAGAACAAAAUACCCCAAACUAUGUUAACUUAAGAUGCUGAGUACUUUGAACUGAAGGAGAUUGGAAGGGCUGUAGAAGCAAGGACUCUGACCUUCUUCCAUCCUCUUCUCUCCAUCUGCUCCAUUAUCCCCUAAGUGAGUCAUAGAAACUAGAAUUUCUCUCCCUCAGAGCAAGGCUUACAACCUAGGAAGGUCUCUGAUUUUCUCCCUUCCUCCUGAAAGUCCUCAAUGGAACAAGUAACCUGCUCCAUAUUGGGGGGUUAGGGACAUGGAUAUCUUACAGAGAGAGAGAAAAAAAUCAGAACAAACAGGCCUUCCUGGGUUCCCCACUCAGUUUAUUACCAUUCAGUUAUACUCUUUUUGUUUAAUCAUGUUUCUCCAUAACUAUCUACCUGUCUUAUCAAACUUAGCAUUAAAACAGUUUUCUCUGGGUCUCUGGGCCUUCACUUCUGAAGGCUCCCAUGUCUCAUAAAACCUUGCUAAAUGAAUUUGUUAUGCUUUUCUCUUGCUGACCUGUCUUUUGUUAUAGUAUUGACCAUUACCCUUGUGGUAGGUGGGGAAGAUAUAUUGCUUUUUUCUCCUUUCUACUUUCAUGUAGUUAAAAGUAAAUGAGAAAUAGGUACUUUAGCUAUACUUCCUUGCAAUAUGUUUCAGUGAUUGUUCUAGAGAUUAUAAUAUAUGUCCUUCUUAACAGUCUACAUAAUAUUGUACCACUUCAUGUAAAAUGUGAAAACCUUGCAACAUUAUAGUUUCAUUCAUCCCUUUUCUUUGUGAUAUUGUGUGUUCUGCAUGUAUGUAUUGCAUGUACAUGCAUUAAAAGAUCUAAAAUUCUGUUUUAAUUUUUACUUUAAAGAAUAAUAUUUUUAAAGAAAUAAAAGAAGAAAAAUGUAUAGUCUUUUAUAUUUUGCCCAAAUAUUUAACAUUUCUGUGCUCUCUUUUCUUCCUGUCAAUCUGAAUUUCCAUCGCUAUAAUUUUCUUUUGACAUGAAAGGUUUAUUUUGCCAUUUUUGCAAUACAGGUCUGUUUCUGAUUAAUUCCUUCUGUUUUCAUUUAUCUGAAAAUAUCUUUGGUUCACCUUCAUUUUUGAAGACUAUUUCACCUGGAUAUAGAAUUUUUAAUUCACAGGGUUUUUUUUUUCUUUCAAUACUUAAAGAUGUCAUUGCAUUUACUUUUUUUACUGUAUUGUUUCUCACAAGAAAUAAACUGUCAUAAUGUGACAUGAUUAUGUUCCCAUGAACAUAAUGUGCCAUGAUUUUUUAUUUGCUCUAAAGACUUCCUCUUUAUCUUUGGUUUUUGUCCGUUUGUUUAUAAUGUGUCUGGACAUGGUUUUCUUUGCAUUUAUCCUAUUUGGUGUUCUCAUAGCUUUUUUGGCUCUUUAAGUUGAUGUUUCUAACCAAAUUCAGAAAAUACUGGCUAUCAUUCUUUAAAUAUUGUUUACUGCUUUAUUCAUAUUCUGUCUCUUCUUUCCCCCCACCCCUUUUCUCCUCUUCUUGUAAGACUUCAAUUAUGUUUGUGUUAUAAUUUUUGGUAUUGUCCCACAGGUUCAGCACUGUUCAACUUUUUACCUUAUUUUUUCUCUAUUCUUCAAAUUACAUAAUUACAUAUUGCUUUGUUAUUGAACUCAAUUACUUUUUAAAUGUUGUCAAUCUAUGAUUAACGCUAUCAAGUAAAUUUUUAUCAAAUAUAAUACUUUUCAAUUCUAUAAUUUCCAUUUCUUUCACAUGAUAGUUUUCAUACCUAUUCUGAGAAACCCCAUCUGUUCAUUCAUCAUGAUCAUAUUAUCCUUUAAAAUGUUUAUAAAACCUGCUUAAAAUCUUUGUCUGCUAAUUCCAACAUCUGUAUAUUUAGUACUGAUUUAUAUAGAUUGUGUUUUCUUUCAACUAUGAGUCACCUUUUUUCAUUUCUUUUUAAUAUGUCUAGUAAUUUUUUGUUAUAUGCUGGGCAUUAUAAGUCUUAAAUUAUAGGGCAUCUAGAAUCGUGUUGUCUUCCUUAAACAAUUGCCUUUUUAAGUGUGACAGCUAAAUCACUGGUGGAUGCUUUUGAUUUUGUCUUAUGUAGAUUUAUUCUUUUUAAUGGCUUUAUUUAUAUUUAGUUUUUAGUUAUUAAGUUCAGCCUAAGGCAGUCCCUUGCCUAGGGCAUGGUCCUUACUCUUUAGAUAUGAUUUAUCUGAAUCUCAACUGAAUGACAAUUGAGAUCUCAUCACAUUGGCUGGCUGCAAUUCCAGUGAAUUCCGGCAGUAUAUGUACUGUAGUAUUACUACUCAGUUCUCAGCCCUGAAAAAAAAAAUCUUAGCUAGGUUUUGUGAAGCCUCACUUUGCACAUACAUAGCCCAGUCCUUGGCCAAGGACUCCAAUUAAUCCCCACACACACUGCUGGGGCCCCUUUUAGCAUAGCUUGAUCUUCUUAGUUAACAUGCCUUGCAAAUUUCAGAUGUUUUCACAUCCUGGAUCACCAAUCUCUCCCUUUUCAAAUCACUGAGACCAUUAAUCCUGUAAGUUCCAUUUUCCUGCCAUUGAGAAAGCUGAAGUGUCAUUGGAGUGAUCACAGGGCUCACUUCUUGUGUUCCUCUUCUUUCAAGGUCUAUAAUUUUGUCCAGCCUAUUGAUUAAUUCCUGCAAAUGAUGGCUUCAUAUAUUUAUUACCAUUUUAUAAUUCCUUUAGGUCAGAGGUCCUCAUCUGGUUACUCUGUCAUAGUUAAAAUAUGAAGUCAUUUUCAAAUAGAUAUUUUAAACCAGCUUUCUGUAACAUUUCUGUACUUCUCUAACAGUAAAAUCAGAUAGCAUGCUAACAUUUUUUAAUAACCCUGUUGGAAACAAGCAAAAACCUAAUAACAAGGAAAAACCUAAUAACCCCCAAUAAACACACACGUCAUAUGUAUUUCAAAAAAGAGACGUUUCUUAUUUUUUCUUUCUGGGUAUAACACAUAUUAACUCUCUUUUGAUAAAAACAGAUUAAUAUACUUGUGCUUCACAAUUUGAUUAAUGCUAAUAUUUUAUAUUUAUACACAUACAAAAAUAGAAAUAUGUCAUGGGGAGUCUAUAUACUUAUAUUUAUGUGCUAUGUUAUACAUUAUGUUGUAAAAUAUGUAUUUCUUUAGAGAAGAAGAGGAACUCAAUUAUUCUGAUAUUUUAGCAAAUCACUUCUGUAUAGAGUUUAAAAAUUAUGUGUAAUUCAGAUAGAGACCAUUGUUUCUUAAAGACAAGCUUCAACUUACCAAUCAAUUUCCACCAGGACCUUUGCUUUCAGUAGACAAAAACUCAAUAAAUGACUUUGCCAUUAAUAUUUCUGUUUAUAUAAUAGAAUAGCAAUCUACUGAAAAUUUACAACUAUACUAAAAAUCCAGAAUGUGGCAUCUCGGGUAUUAUAACUAAAAUUUAAAUAAGAAUAUCACUUGAAGGGGUUUUAAAAGUAUUUACAACAUAUUUUAUAGAUUGUUGCUAAGAGGUUUACACAAUUCAUCUUACAGGUGUAGACACAUUAAUGAAUGUGAGGGUAUUAAUUUUCCUCUAGCAUUUAAAAUUUAUUAUUAGCUUGGUUUGGCAGUGAGAAGUUAAAAGGGCUUCAAGGUCCACAUGAAAUGGUUUUUAAGUGCAUUGGGAAUGAUGAGUUACAUUAAUUUUAGAUUCACCAAGUUCUUUUACAGGCUCUGUGUUGUCAAUGUUAAAGUUUUUAAAUCAGAAUUUCCUUUGAUGAAUGCCUCACUGAAACACAAAAAAAGCUAAAACAGGUAUUUAACAAACAAGAAAAUAUAUUAGGCCAGUAAACUUCUGAUAUUUUAGCAAAUCAAAAGUGCAAUAUUUUAAACAUUCCCAUCAAUAAUUAGGUAUGUGCAAAAUAAAACCAUAAUGAGGUAUUACCUGCCCAACAGAUAGACAAAAAAUUUUUUAAAGUUUAACAAUACCAAAUGUUGGCUGGGGCGUGAAGCAACAAAAAACUUUAAUAAACUACUUCAGUGAGUGUAAAUUGGUGCAAUCACUUUGGAAAACAAUCGGGCAUUUUUUAGUAAAAUUGACUGUAUACUUACCCUACAACCUUGCAAAUCUACUCAAAAUAUACACUCUCAGAUGGUGGUGGGUACUAACAUCAUGAUACGUAAACAAGCUCAGUGAUAGCAGCAUUGUUUGCAAUAGACAAAAACUGGGAACAAUUCAGUAUCUAUCCACAGCAUAAUGAAUAUGGAAAUUGUGUUAUAUUCAUAUAUUGAAAUAAUAUAUUACAACAAAAUUAAGUGCAACUACUCAAAAGAACAUGGAUUAAUUUCUCAAACAUAACAUGGAGUGAGAGAAGGGAAACAGUCUUAAAAUAAUACAUACUGUGUUAUUCAUAUAAAACUCCAAAGAGUCAAACCAAACUAUAUUGUUUAGGAAUACAUCAGUGGAAAACUUAGAGAAAAAAAAAAUACUGUACUGUAGAGUAUUUUAGAAGUCAGGAGAGUGAUUACUACCAAGGAAGAGGACAGAGAAUUGAAGAAUGGUAUGCUGAGGCUUCUGGGUGGCUGGCUGAUAUUUCCAGUGGUGUUUCUUAAUAACAACUCAUUAUACUCUACAUUCAUGUGUUGUAUCAAUUUCUGUAAAUAUGUUAUCUUUCAUAAUAAAAUGUUUUAAAUAUA
rnacentral:lncRNA from 1 species